rnacentral:rRNA from 1 species
GAUGAACGCUGGCGGCGUGCCUAACACAUGCAAGUCGAGCGAAAAGACGAGGAGCUUGCUCCCCUGCCGUUAGCGGCGGACGGGUGAGUAACACGUGGAUAACCUCCCUAUAAGACUGGGACAACCACGGGAAACCGGAGCUAAUACCGGAUAAUAUAUCGAACCGCAUGGCUCAAUAGCAAAAGACGGUUUUGCUGACACCUAUAGAUGGAUCAGCGCCGCCUUAGCUAGGUGGUAAGGUAACGGCUUACCAAGGCAACGAGGCGUAGCCGACAUGAGAGGGUGAUCGGCCACACGGGAAGUGAGACAGGGUCCAGACUCCGACGGGAGGCAGCAGUAGGGAAUCUUCCGCAAUGGGGGAAAGCCUGACGGAGCAACACCGCGUGAGUGAUGAAGGUCUUCGGAUGGUAAAGCUCUGUUGUUAGGGAAGAAGAAAAGUGUAAGUAGCUAUGAAGGUCAUGACGGUACCUGAUCAAGAAGCCACGGCUAACUACGUG